GUAUUAUUUGAAGAUAAUUUGUUUGUUGAAAGACACUGACAGCUACUGCAAAGCCUCACUCAAGGCCGUUGUGGAAUACAUCUCGUACCAGUGCCUCCUGUUCCUGCUGCAAGACCUCAGCAGAACUUCAUUUGCGCUUCUAAUUCUGCUAGACAUUCUUCCAAUUCCAUUGCUGUUGUGCAAGGGCCAGCACAUUUUGAAAAUUUUCAGAAGUUAAUAAUAAAACUUCUGACAGAGGUAAAGUCCUCUGUCGCAGAGCAUGAGUUCCGGUCAUCCUGAUGACUACACCCUCCCAUAGGCUGUGGUACUCCCUGUAGGGACAUUGGAUCAACUGGAAGCCUUGGAAGAGCAACUCACACAUGACCAGACACUACAGGGCCACCUGGUAAGCAACAUUGCAUACCUUACAGUAAAUAAAUUCCAAAAAUAUAGAGAUUUGAAAGUCGGUUCAAAAUCAGUUGAAUAAUGAAUGGUGAGCAGAUUUUUUUAAAAAUUAGCCUACAGGGGCUCCCGAGCAGGGCAUCCGGGAAAGUCUCCCCUUGGCGAACAGGAUGCACCCUAUAGCCUGGACAUCCUCGAGUCCAGUUUAUGCCAUUGCACACUGGAGUUGGUAGUAGUGGUGUAGUUCUACAUUUUGUAGUGCUGGAGGGCUGCCAAAAUUACUGACGUUGUGACAGGUUGGCUUCAGUGGUGACCUCAGACCAGAAGAAAACACACAGCACUGUGAGUGAUAUGUUAAAUGUGCUUGCUUGUACUGGUUUACUGCAAAAGAAAUAAAAGAU